UAGGGAAUCUUCCGGCAAUGGGGCGAAAGCCUGACGGAGCAAUGCCGCGUGAGUGAUGAAGGUUUUCGGAUCGUAAAGCUCUGUUGCCAGGGAAGAACGCUUGGGAGAGUAACUGCUCUCAAGGUGACGGUACCUGAGAAGAAAGCCCCGGCUAACUACGUG
rnacentral:rRNA from 4 species